GCUAAACGCGAAGAACCUUACCAAGGCUUGACAUACACCAGAACACCCUGGAAACAGGGGACGUCUUUGGACACUGGUGAACAGGUGGUGCAUGGUUGUCGUCAGCUCGUGUCGUGAGAUGUUGGGUUAAGUCCCGCAACGAGCGCAACCCUCGUUCUAUGUUGCCAGCACGUUAUGGUGGGAACUCAUGGGAUACUGCCGGGGUCAACUCGGAGGAAGGUGGGGAUGACGUCAAAUCAUCAUGCCCCUUAUGUCUUGGGCUUCACGCAUGCUACAAUGGCCGGUACAAUGGGCUGCGAUACCGUAAGGUGGAGCGAAUCCCAAAAAGCCGGUCCCAGUUCGGAUUGAGGUCUGCAACUCGACCUCAUGAAGUCGGAGUCGCUAGUAAUCGCAGAUCAGCAACGCUGCGGUGAAUAC
rnacentral:rRNA from 1 species